UACACCAUCUAUUCAGACUUCUCAAUCUCUCUGAAUCUCCUAUCCCAAUCCUGUGUGUCAUAGUCUUGCUCAAAUAUGUCUCUUUCCGUGGUGUACACAAUCCGAUCCUGUCCGAUCACAGUCCUCUGAGACAUGUCCCGAGCAUUAAGAAUCUCUUCUACUUCUACUUCUAUUUCUACUACUACUACUGAUGCUGCUACCAUUUGGUGUUCCUAAUUUGGUAUAAGUGUUGUGGAGAAGGUGAUUAACGGAGUAUUUGAAGGUUUUUGAGUGGAAUUUGGGGGUGAUUGUGAAGCACGUGGAGAUUGAGGCCAUUGAUUUGAUU
rnacentral:lncRNA from 1 species